rnacentral:rRNA from 1 species
GACGAACCGUGCGAACGUUAUUCGGAAUCACUGGGCUUAAAGGGCGCGUAGGCGGGCUCGCAGGUCAGGGGUGAAAGCCCACGGCUCAACCGUGGAAGUGCCUUUGAUACCGUGAGUCUCGAGGGAGGUAGGGGCGUGCGGAACUUCCGGUGGAGCGGUGAAAUGCGUAGAUAUCGGAAGGAACAUCGGUGGCGAAAGCGGCGCGCUGGACCUCUUCUGACGCUGAGGCGCGAAAGCGUGGGGAGCAAACAGG